GAGUUUGAUCCUGGCUCAGGAUGAACGCUGGCGGCGUGCAUAACACAUGCAAGUCGAACGAAGCAGAAGGAUGCUUGCAUCCUUUUGACUGAGUGGCGGACGGGUGAGUAACGUGUGGAGAACCUACCUUACACAGGGGGAUAACGGCUGGAAACGGCUGCUAAUACCGCAUAAGCAUACAGCUUCGCAUGAAGCCGUGUGAAAAGAAAAAUCGGUGUAAGAUGGCUCCGCAUCUGAUUAGCUAGUUGGUGAGGUAAUGGCUCACCAAGGCAACGAUCAGUAGCCGGCCUGAGAGGGCGACCGGCCACAUUGGGACUGAGACACGGCCCAGACUCCUACGGGAGGCAGCAGUGGGGAAUCUUGCACAAUGGGGGAAACCCUGAUGCAGCAACGCCGCGUGAGCGAAGAAGUAUUUCGGUAUGUAAAGCUCUAUCAGCAGGGAAUAGAAAAGAAGGUACCUGACUAAGAAGCCCCGGCUAACUACGUGCCAGCAGCCGCGGUAAUACGUAGGGGGCAAGCGUUAUCCGGAUUUACUGGGUGUAAAGGGAGCGUAGACGGCUGUUUAAGUCAGAAGUGAAAGCCCAUUGCUUAACGAUGGGACUGCUUUUGAAACUAAGGAGCUAGAGUGCA
rnacentral:rRNA from 1 species